rnacentral:lncRNA from 1 species
CCCUACUCCUACAGUGAACCUACUGCAGCCAAUCUACACUGCAUGGACCCAUAUGGCUAGAGACCAUGUAUGUAUGCAGUCAAAUUACAAUAACCUCACUGUGAGUAGCCGAAGCACCGCAGGUCAAAGGACCAGUCACACUACUGCAACAUUAAGCAAGUCAUUGACGAGUGGAUAGACAUCCAAGUGACUUCUUGUAUUGGUCACGCUCAGUACCCUUGUUCUCUAA